UACGGAGGAUGCGAGCGUUAUCCGGAUUUAUUGGGUUUAAAGGGUGCGCAGGCGGGCUUUUAAGUCAGCGGUGAAAUCUGGACGCUCAACGUUCAAAUUGCCGUUGAAACUGAUAGUCUUGAGUGUAGUUGAAGUAGGCGGAAUUCGUUGUGUAGCGGUGAAAUGCAUAGAUAUAACGAGGAACCCCGAUUGCGUAGGCAGCUUACUAAACUAUAACUGACGCUCAGGCACGAAAGUGUGGGUAUCAAAC
rnacentral:rRNA from 1 species